CAGUCGCCGCGGGAAUACGUAGGGUGCAAGCGUUAAUCGGAAUUACUGGGCGUAAAGCGUGCGCAGGCGGUUUUGUAAGACAGAGGUGAAAUCCCCGGGCUCAACCUGGGAACUGCCUUUGUGACUGCAAGGCUGGAGUGCGGCAGAGGGGGAUGGAAUUCCGCGUGUAGCAGUGAAAUGCGUAGAUAUGCGGAGGAACACCGAUGGCGAAGGCAAUCCCCUGGGCCUGCACUGACGCUCAUGCACGAAAGCGUGGGGAGCAAACAGGAUUAGAUACCCCCGUAGUCCCUGUCUCUUAUAC
rnacentral:rRNA from 1 species